UGAGGAAUAUUGGUCAAUGGGCGCAAGCCUGAACCAGCCAUCCCGCGUGCAGGAAGACGGCGCUAUGCGUUGUAAACUGCUUUUCCAGGGAGAGAAACUUGCGCACGUGUUGCGCAAUUGACGGUACCCUGGGAAUAAGCAUCGGCAAACUCCGUCCAAGCACCGGCGGUAAUACGGAGGUUGCGACCGUUAUCGGAUUUCAUUGGGUUUAAAGGGUGCGUAGGCGGACUAUUAAGUCAGUGGUGAAAUCCUGCAGCUUAACUGCAGAACUGCCAUUGAUACUGAUAGCCUUGAGUUUGGUUAAGGUAGGCGGAAUGUGUAAUGUAGCGGUGAAAUGCUUAGAUAUUACACAGAACACCAAUUGCGUAGGCAGCUUACUGAGCCGACACUGACGCUGAGGCACGAAAGCGUGGGGAUCGAACAG
rnacentral:rRNA from 1 species